rnacentral:rRNA from 1 species
GACGAACCGUGCGAACGUUGUUCGGAUUCACUGGGCUUAAAGGGCGCGUAGGCGGGCGGUCAAGUCGGGGGUGAAAUCUUUCAGCUUAACUGGAAAAGUGCCUCCGAUACUGAUCGCCUCGAGGGAGGUAGGGGCAUGUGGAACUUCCGGUGGAGCGGUGAAAUGCGUAGAUAUCGGAAGGAACGCCGGUGGCGAAAGCGACGUGCUGGACCUCUUCUGACGCUGAGGCGCGAAAGCUAGGGGAGCAAACGCG